UACGGGGGGGGGCAAGCGUUGUUCGGAAUUACUGGGCGUAAAGGGCGCGUAGGCGGACAGUUAAGUCAGAGGUGAAAGCCCAGGGCUCAACCCCUGGAAUUGCCUUUGAUACUGACUGUCUUGAGUACGGGAGAGGUGUGUGGAACUCCGAGUGUAGAGGUGAAAUUCGUAGAUAUUCGGAAGAACACCAGUGGCGAAGGCGACACACUGGCCCGUUACUGACGCUGAGGCGCGAAAGCGUGGGGAGCAAACAGG
rnacentral:rRNA from 1 species